rnacentral:lncRNA from 1 species
CCGUCGCGGCCACUAUCCCUCCAACCGACUGUGGAGAAUAGUAACGCACACACGCACUAUAGCGAAGUAAGCAAAAAGAGGCAAACUAGAUAGCAACAGAGUAAACCGCACACGGAAUGCUAGGUAAAAUACGUGAAAAGAUGUACAACAUAAACAAGAGAGCGGGAGGUACCAACUCCCGGUGGAAAAACCUGAAAGUAGGCUUUGAUUUCUUGAAGCUUAUCGUAACGUGUAGUUCUGUUGCGUCCUGCCAAAAGUCUGAAUGGGAGUCGCCUGAAGUACUCUAGCUUGCCGGAAAUCCUUGCCACGAAAAUAAGGCACCUGUCCAAGAAACCAAAACACACCCACACACACCCACAAAAAGCAGAAGAGAGAAUAGGAAGAAAAGACUAAUACAGAGCAGAAAUGGAGACGACAAGACCUAGCCAAGGCAGCCACAAAUUCAACAAUUCAACCAUCAAUUUUGGAGAGUUUAAACACUCU